GACACCGUGGCCGAGCGGUUAAGGCGAUUGACUAGAAAUCAAUUGGGUUUAUCCCGCGUAGGUUCGAGUCCUGCCGGUGUCG
rfam:Fragilariopsis cylindrus CCMP1102 unplaced genomic scaffold FRACYscaffold_1, whole genome shotgun sequence.